AGCCCCAGAAAAAAAAGGAGCGACGGAAAGGUAAAGGUGUGGAAGAAGAUGACGAUGAGAAGGAGGUCAUGACGACUUUGAAAAAGCUUUCGGUACAAGCGAGCGACGAGGAAGACGAAUCAGGAUUCAUCUCAAACAAAAGAAACAAGAAGAAGACAGGAAACAUCUUUGCUGCUCUCAGCCAAGGGCAGAGCGAAGAAGAGGAGGAAGAAGAAGAUGAUGAUGAUGAUGAUAAUAAGAAUAAGCAGCGUGCAGUGAAG